UCCUAGUUAACCUAGGCAGUCUCAUUAGAGUCCCCACCUUGCGUGUUGGCAACUAAUGAUAAGGGUUGCGCUCGUUGCUGGACUUAACCAAACACCUCACGGCACGAGCUGACGACAGCCAUGCAGCACCUAUACAGGCGUCCUUACGGAAAAUACCAUCUCUGGUAUCGCCACCUGCAUUUCGAGCCUGGGUAAGGUUCUUCGCGUUGCAUCGAAUUAAACCACAUGCUCCACUGCUUGUGCGGGCCCCCGUCAAUUCUUUUGAGUUUCACUCUUGCGAGCGUACUCCCCAGGCGGCAUACUUAUCGCGUUAGCUUCGACACAGAUAGGGUUGAGCCCACCUACAUCAAGUAUGCAUCGUUUACGGCAAGGACUAC
rnacentral:misc_RNA from 1 species